rnacentral:misc_RNA from 1 species
UCUUGAUACUUGAUUGAAUAGAGCAAUAGAAACUCCAACAGCAGCUAGCUCCACUGGACCUGAAUGAAUCAUAUAACUUAAAGCUAAGCUCCUUCACCAUUUAAAAGAAAUAAACAUUGAAAAAGGGCACUAACAUAUAAACCUUCUCCUGUACAAUGAAAUAGCAAUAUAUGAUAGAACUUAAUAAGGGCAAGACAAGAAUGGGCCAGCCAGAGUAGCAUAAGGGAACUCUCAACAUGAAUCCGCGAUUAUACCAUAUACUUCAUUGGGAAACAUUGAUUUAAGUUAGCAAAUACAAGCAGAAGCAAAUAAAAGGAUCAACAGGCAUUAAGAUUAAACAACACUGAUGAACUAUGAAACUGUAAUUUAAAGUCUACGGAGAAAUGGACUAGGCCUAACUCCACCCAAAAGUUUGCUAAGGAGGUUUGCCCAAGUCAAAUACACUAUUCCAAAUUAAUGUGAGAUAAUGCAUCUCUCAUGCCCAAGUAUGAAUAUCUGGAGUGUGAAAUUUGCAGGCAAACAUAUCAGCAGGUGGCGGUAAGCUCUGAUAUAUGUAAAGAAAAUGGAUCAAGCCUAACUCCAACCAAAAGCUAGCUCUUAUCUUGGUCUAUUUAGACCAAAUACCUUGUCCCAAACCAAUGUAGCACAACAAAUUCAUUUGAGUACAGUUCAUUAGGAUUGUAAUUAAGAAUUAGCACAAUCCAAUUCCUCAUAAUAUAUGACUAAUCAAGAGUUCAAACACAUAGAAUUUGAAUCAG